rnacentral:rRNA from 1 species
AACCUGGUUGAUCCUGCCAGUAGUCAUAUGCUUGUCUCAAAGACUAAGCCAUGCAUGUCUAAGUAUAAGUGUUAUACAGCGAAACUGCGAAUGGCUCAUUAAAACAGUUAUAGUUUAUUUGAUAAUCGAAUUUACAUGGAUAACCGCGGUAAUUCUAGAGCUAAUACAUGCUGGUGUGCCCGACUUUUGUGGAAGGGCGGUAUUUAUUAGAUAACAAGCCAAUAUUCCUCUGGUCUAUUGUGGUGACUCAUAAUAACUGAUCGAAUCGCAAGGCCUAUGGCCGCGAUAAGUCAUUCAAGUUUCUGCCCCAUCAGCUGUCGAUGGUAGUGUAUUGGACUACCAUGGCGUUUACGGGUAACGGGGGAUUAGGGUUCGAUUCCGGAGAGGGAGCCUGAGAAACGGCUACCACAUCUAAGGAAGGCAGCAGGCGCGUAAAUUACCCAAUCCUGACUCAGGGAGGUAGUGACAAGAAUUAACGGACCGAGGCCUUCUGGCUUCGGGAUUGCAAUGAGCCGAAUUUACACCCCUUAGCGAAAACGAUUGGAGGGCAAGUCUGGU